GGCAUUAUAGCCUAGUGGUAUCUUGGUGGUGGGAUAAGGCUCAUAACCAUUAGGUCAUGGGUUCGAUUCCCACAAAGGGGA
rnacentral:tRNA from 1 species